rnacentral:tRNA from 1 species
GCCUGGGUGGCUCAGUUGGUUGAGCGUCCGACUUUGGCUCAGGUCAUGAUCUCAUGGUCCGUGAGUUCGAGCCCCGCGUCAGGCU